rnacentral:rRNA from 1 species
GACGAACGCUGGCGGCGUGCUUAACACAUGCAAGUCGAACGGUAAGGCCCUUCGGGGUACACGAGUGGCGAACGGGUGAGUAACACGUGGGUGAUCUGCCCUGCACUUCGGGACAAGCCUGGGAAACUGGGUCUAAUACCGGAUAGGACCACUGCCUGCAUGGGUGGGGGUGGAAAGCUUUUGCGGUGUGGGAUGGGCCCGCGGCCUAUCAGCUUGUUGGUGGGGUGAUGGCCUACCAAGGCGACGACGGGUAGCCGGCCUGAGAGGGUGACCGGCCACACUGGGACUGAGAUACGGCCCAGACUCCUACGGGAGGCAGCAGUGGGGAAUAUUGCACAAUGGGCGCAAGCCUGAUGCAGCGACGCCGCGUGAGGGAUGACGGCCUUCGGGUUGUAAACCUCUUUCAGCACCGACGAAGCGCAAGUGACGGUAGGUGCAGAAGAAGGACCGGCCAACUACGUGCCAGCCGCCGCAGUAA